CGAAGCCGUAUAGAGAUUCCAUAUGAGAGUUAUUUCCUCUUUUGUAUUUGAAAUUUUGAAAUGUAUUUUAAACUGGAAAACCAUAAGUGAUAGAGACAUAGGGUCUUUUGAUUUGAGAUCCUUGGUCCAAAAAAAUGAAAAUUAGGUCAAGGUCAAAGGUCAAGGUCAUAUUCUAAAUUUUGAUUUUGGCUUAUUUUCACUCAUUUUCAUUAACCUUAUCAGAUAUCGACAAAUUAUUUUACUAAAUUGUUAGUUGCGACAUGUCGUAACAUAAUAAUUUUGGUUGAAAGGGUGCGUAGACAAUAAAUGGGAGUUUUAGCCCUACCACAUCUAAAAUUAUGCGUAAAGUGAUAUUACUUAUUAACCAUACAUAUUAGAGACCUAGGGUCUUUUGAUUUGAGAUCCUCAGUUUGUGACCUUGAAAUUGAGGUCAAGGUCAUAGGUAAAUUUGGCGUUUUAGAUUAUGACCUUUGGUUAAAAUUCAUAUCUAUACAUCAUAAAGCCAUAGGAACUGACAUUUUAGACUGAUUUUUAAUAUUUUAAUAUCAAAAUAGAUAUUUACUGGUGGAAAGACCUUCAAUUGUUCUCUGAACAAUUGGUUUUUAAUUAUUAUUCUUUUUG
rnacentral:lncRNA from 1 species